rnacentral:rRNA from 1 species
GAUGAACGCUGGCGGCGUGCCUAAUACAUGCAAGUCGAGCGAACGGACGAGAAGCUUGCUUCUCUGAUGUUAGCGGCGGACGGGUGAGUAACACGUGGGCAACCUGCCUCAUAGAGGGGAAUAGCCUUCCGAAAGGGAGAUUAAUACCGCAUAAGAUUGUAGUACCGCAUGGUACAGCAAUUAAAGGAGCAAUCCGCUAUGAGAUGGGCCCGCGGCGCAUUAGCUAGUUGGUGAGGUAACGGCUCACCAAGGCGACGAUGCGUAGCCGACCUGAGAGGGUGAUCGGCCACAUUGGGACUGAGACACGGCCCAGACUCCUACGGGAGGCAGCAGUGGGGAAUAUUGCACAAUGGGGGAAACCCUGAUGCAGCAACGCCGCGUGAGUGAUGACGGCCUUCGGGUUGUAAAGCUCUGUCUUCAGGGACGAUAAUGACGGUACCUGAGGAGGAAGCCACGGCUAACUACGUGCCAGCAGCCGCAGUAA